GAUAUUGGUAGCCUUGACCUUUCUGUUUCUUUCUUUUGUUCUUUCUUUAUUCCAUUCAUUCUUCCAUGCUCUUUCUCUUUCCUCUUGACCUUUUAUUUUUGUAGAUGUUGAUUGGCCCCAUAUCCUCUGUAUUCAGCAUUGGCAUUUCUUAGCAUCUGUUUUAGAGCACCAAAGACAGUAUGCAAUCAGGCAUUCCUACUGAGAGCCACAGAGCGAGAGAGAAAAGACGAGAGAGACAGAAAGACGCUACAGGGAGCAUUGUGGAGGUGUGAUUGUUGAAGAGGGACUUCACUGUUUGACACACAAUCAAAGCAUGUUUGAUGGACACCAACGAGAGGAAUAGGAAGGACAAGAAAAGGUCACAAGUUUGUUUUCAGAAUGCAGAAUCUAGACAAGACAAUGAGAUUGAUUGUUCUGAUGGUUUUUGUUUAUUUAGACAUGCUUAAAGGGAUAUGUCACCACAGAUCCACUCACUUUCCUUUCUUGGGACAAAUGGAGAAGUUCUGAGCAAUGGUUCUUUUCUGUACAAUGGAAGUGGAUGGGGACCAGUUGCAUAACGUUGAAAAUGCUCCAUAAAGCAUCAUAAAAGUAGUUCAUACAAAUUACAAGAGGAGCUUGGACAUGGAAGAAAGUAAGUCAAUCAGGAUUCAAAAGACAAGAGAGUGCAUAAAUGAUGUCAUUUUUAUUUCUUGACAGAGCAGUCCCUUUAAGAAAAGCCUGAACUUCACAAGGAGAAAUAAGCAGCAUUAGCUUGAGCAAAUGACAUUAUUACUGUAUGUCACUGACUGUUAGCAUUGUGCCUGAUAUUCUGUGUGUGUGUGUGUGUGUGUGUUGAGCCUGAUGAUCUGUGUGCUAAAUGAGGCCUGAUGGAACCCAGAGACUCAGAAGAUAUGACACUCCAGACGCUGCAUGAGAGCGAAGCUCUUUAAAUGGCACUUUAAGCAAAAUGACUUGUGUAUUGCCCGUGUGUGUAAGAAAAUUGAUAAAAUAUCAUCUUAUCAUG